GGGUCAUUAGCUCAGUUGGUAGAGCACCUGACUCUUAAUCAGGGUGUCGGGGGUUCGAGUCCCUCAUGACCCACCA
rnacentral:tRNA from 1 species